ACCCCGAUCCCAAGCACCAUGGAGCCGACGAUUUGGAUCAAGACCUACAUCCCAAGCACCAAGGUGCCUGGUUGAUAUGGAUCGCGAUCCCGAUCUGGAGCUCCAGGGCGCCGAGGAUUUCGAUCACGAUCCCGAUCUGAAGCACCGAGUAGCCGAGGAUAUGGAUCAAGACCCCGGUCCGAAGCGACAAGGAGGCAAGGAUUUGGAUCACCACUCCGGUCAAAGGCACCAAGGCGUCGAGGGAUUGGAUCGAGAUCCCGAUCCCAAUCAUGAAGUUGGCUAUGUAAUUUCCUGUUUUCCACACCGUUCAGGGCAUUUUGGUGGUCGUAUCGGCUUUUAGUUGCUUGCUUGGUGUUAGUGCCAAGGGAGUGGUUGGAAGCUAGGUCGUCCUAUGGAAUGCUUGUUGUAAAGGUGUAUGAGUUGUGUUUGGCUUGUUACGGGUGUUUGUUGGCUGCUUGUGCAGGAACUUUCAUGCGUCCAAGCCUCUUCAGUUGUGCUACAAGGCCUUGUUUGUCUUGUGCAUACGGUGGGUUUCCUGUGUUGCAUACCUAAUCAAGGGCAUCGUAUGGCUUGAUCGAAGUAAAUAUUCGUAAUGCGCCGCUUGCGGCGUUGCACGAACCUCGAAGUGGUCUCUGUGGCCCAUGUUGUCUUUGCUCACGUAUGGAUGGCAUGGCCCUCGGAGCGUCGCUUGGUCCCUUGGAUACGGAACCUGAUGAUGUGGGCGGUAGGGUCUUGGAUGAUUCUACCUUCGC
rnacentral:misc_RNA from 1 species